CCCUUAGAUGUUCUGGGCCGCACGCGCGCUACACUGACGAAUGCAACGAGCUUAUAACCUUGGCCGAAAGGUCUGGGUAAUCUCCAAAGUUCGUCGUGAUGGGGAUAGAUUAUUGCAAUUAUUAAUCUUCAACGAGGAAUGCCUAGUAAGCGCAAGUCAUCAGCUUGCGUUGAUUACGUCCCUGCCCUUUGUACACACCGCCCGUCGCUCCUACCGAUUGAAUGGUCCGGUGAAGCGUUCGGACCGUGGCCUUUGGACGGUUCGCCGUCUGUUGGCUGCGGGAAGUUCGUUAAACCUUAUCAUUUAGAGGAAGGAGAAGUCGUAACA
rnacentral:rRNA from 1 species